AAAACAGGCAUGCAUUUAAAUUAUGUAUUUUUUUCAUUUGGAGUAUAUCUAAAAAAAACAAAAAAAGAAAAAAAAAGGCUACUCUUGUCUGUAGCCUUUGCAAGUCCUCUCCUUCUUCCCCAGCCCAGACUUUCUGUGGCUGUAAAAUCCCAAACUUCCCGAUGUAGCUCAAUGAGAAGUCUUGGCAAGGUAGGUACUCUGGGCAUUUAACCCCUUCAGACCGGAGGACGUACAAUUACUCCCUAUUUUAGGCGGCUCUAAACGCCGCGGGGCGUAAUUGUACGCCCUCCGGCUUUUGUUCACUUACCCGGGGAGCCCCCCCGUGGCAGAUCCUCCUCC